ensembl:snRNA U6 U6 spliceosomal RNA
GUGCUCGCUUCGGCAGCACAUACACUAAAAUUGGAACGAUACAGAGAAGAUUAGCACGGCCCCUGCACAAGGAUGACAUGCAAAUUUGUGAAGCAUUCCAUAUUUUU